rnacentral:lncRNA from 1 species
CCUCUCCUGGCUGUGGUGUGAGGGGCUGGUCUGGAAGUUCCUCUCCCGGUGGGAAAGGCCUCUUCUGGCUGUAGUGAGAGGGCUGGUCUGGAAGUUUCUCUCCCGGUGGGAAAGGCCUCUCCUGGCUGUGGUGUGAGGGGCUGGUCUGGAAGUUUCUCUCCCGGUGGGAAAGGCCUCUCCUGGCGGUGGUGUGAGGGGCUGGUCUGGAAGUUUCUCUCCAGGUGGUAAAGGCCUCUCCUGGCUGUGGUGAGAGGGGCUGGUCUGGAAGUUUCUGUCCAGGUGGGAAAGGC